GCUUUCUUGCAGCUCAGUUGGUAGAUCAUUGCGUUAACAACGUGAAAGACUGUGGGUUCAAUCCCAGGGAAAGCA